AAAAAACAAAACAAAACUUUUAUUUGAGAAAAAUAUAUAUAAAAUUGCAAACCAAAACGCACACAGGCAAGAGUUAUUAAUCCAAAGAAUAGAAUGUUUGGUUUAGGUUUUUUUGCUCUGGUAAUUUAGAAUUUACUUUUGAAAAAGCAGUUGAGGGACAUUAGCCAGGCAUGGUAAUUCACACCUAUAGUCCCACUCUAAAGGUAACAGAAACAAGAUCAAAGCCAGCUCUGGGCCACACCGGGAGGGGGAGAACAGUAUUAAGUGCUCUAUUUCCAUUUUGAACAUUUUAACACAAAUUAAUGCUAAUGAGCUAAUUUUCCUGCCUUGAGUAUAGAGUUUAAGGUUUUACUGACACGUACAAACACUAACAUUUCUUAUUAAACUUACCCUACUCCACCUAAAAGGUGGGUAGUUAAAACUAGUUAUUUUCUCCCCUUGCAUUCUAAAACACAAUAGCUUGCAUUAGCCUUCAUACAAUAACAGAGAAUGACCUUUAACACAGCUAGGGUGGCUCUCUUCACAGUUAAGACAAAAGUGCAUUAGAUUUUCUGGUUUAAAAAAAAAAAAGAAUCAUAAGAGAUAAAGGGUGUUUGGGUCUACAGCAUUUUCUAAUAUUUCUAAAUAAUUCAAUACACUUUCAACCAAAUUCCGAAAAUCAUUCAAAAACCACUUGCAUUUUUAUAAUUGAUGUAUUUUAUAAAUGAAAUUUAUUUAUAAAGUAGAAGAAAAGAAGUUACGUCAUCUAAAAAAAUUAUUAAACUAUUUCAACUCCAAGAACAAAAACAAAAUAAAAUAAAACAACCUGGAAAUUACGAGAUUAUCAGUGUUGCUUGGAACUAGUAAUUUCCAACAAAUUUCAUCGAUCUUCUUGACACACUGAGGACCUGGCAAACUAGGAGUGUUAGCUUCUACUUAGGCAAAGUUAAAGUCAUAGCUAACAGUUCCAGUGACACUUGGCAAAUCAAAAUGGUCUCACCUCUACGGCAGGCAGGCUGUUUUCUUUGGUCAGCUCUGUGAGAAAGUUCUGGAAUCGGCCGAAAUACUUCCUCCUCCCUUUAGUUGGCUGUGAUGAGACUUAACUAGAGUCAUUCUAUUCUGUAUGAAGAACUUUCUCACCCACAAAACGGCAAGCAGUACCCAGCCUUGGCGAGCAACACCGUAUAACUCUGCAAGGUUUCAGGCUUGGAUUAAAACUUUUAACAACUGUAUGGCACCCACUCCUCACCUACGCAUCUGUAAUCAACACAGAGAAGUCCUCACGUCUCUAGCUGGGAAGGUUGAUCUGAAUCACUUCCCUCCGGGUACAAGAUGUCUUCCAUCUUGGGCAUCUCAGGCAUCUCCAGCAUUUUGGGCGUCUGGGUGUAUCGGCUAGGGCAAACCGGCAGCUUCGGCAGAGAGUUGCUCUUUUGGCAAGUGGCCUGCGGCAGAGAGGGGCUAGAGGUCUUGGCGUCUUCUUGCAUCUUCCAGAUCACCAGCUGCAUGCAGGCUCUGGCAUCCUCGAUGGAGCUGUGGCCACCGCUUUGUGUCUGGAUCAUCCGGCUGAGGUACUGAGAGAUGAGGCUCCUCAAGGAGCGCUUGUAGGGGAGGCCCCGCUGGUGAGGGAAGAGCACGGAUGUGUCCACCACAGUGUCAUGGAUGAACUUCAAAGCCAGCAGGUCACUCUCAAGGCUGUGUCCAAUGAGGAUGGUUUCAGUGCUGAACAUGCUAAGAAGCACGGCCUGGACAUCACACAGCCUAACUUUGGUAUCCACCAGGUCUGCCUCGGUCACUCCGGAAAACAUGGUGUUGUAGUCCACAAUCUCAUGAUCAGGCUUGACGAAGGUGUCGUAAACCACGUUUAAGUCAGUGUCCACCACUGUGACGCGGGUGAGCUCCAGGCCGUGUGUGGUAUAGGACAUCUCACAGUCCAGCGCGAAGAUUCCCGCAUGCGCUUCCCAGUCCGUCUUCGGGAAGGUCUUGGCAAAGCCAUGCAAGUUGUCCUUCCUGCCGUCCUGCACGUGUUGCUUGGCCACCUUGCAGCCAGUGGCUUCCAUGGGCGCGGAGCAGCACGAGUAGCGCACCUGCCAGCCUUCCUCCACCGGGAUGGAGACGACACGCCCCCAGUGGUACACGCAGGGCUCAGAGCAGAUAGCCCUUCAGGCGGCUGUACAAAGUGGCCUUGCUGAAACCAGGAAUGGCGCUGGGAACCAGGCCCCUGAGCCUCUUCAGGGUGUGCAGAGCGACAUUCAGGUACUUGUUCUUGCUGGGACUUUGGUCGUAGAUCACUUUCUCCUCUAACUGGGCCUUCUCAAUGGCCUCCAGAUGCGAAGAGGAGAACUUGAGGCACUCCUCAGUGAACAAGCCCAAGUAGUGCUGGCGCAAGGCAACAGGGAUCAUGUCCUUAAACUCCUUGGUGAGGAUGGGCUUCUUCAUUCCGAAAAAAGUAUAGCUGUAGACAGCUUGCUGUGGAGUAUAGGUGUUGAAGUGUGGCGGCUGACCUGUGGCUCUGCUGUUGUUGCUGCUGCUGCUGCUGCUGCUGCUGCUGCUGCUGCUGCUGCUGCUGCUGCUGGUGGUGGUGGUGGUGGUCCUCUUGGCAGUUGUGGUGUUGGCAAGGCUGGGGCUAGCCAUGAGGAUGAGACUCUUGUUCUCUCCAGCUAAGGCUGAGGAUGAUGACAGGGAGGAAGAUGACGACGAGGAAGAGGAAGAAGACGUGGUCGUCGUCAACGUCUCAGAGCAGAGUAUCUUCCUCCCGACCAGUUGGGGUCGCCAGUGUUGCUGCUCCGAAGGUACUGCAAGCCAGCUGUGGUGUGCCCCAGGGCCAGGCCUCAGGGAAGGCACCUGGAUCACGAUGAGCUGGUUGGUCCGGCAACAAGAUGGGGGGCACUGGUAGUAAGACAUCAGGAAGUUCCCGACUGGAUGAACCAGGACUCUCCUGGCUUCAGAAUGCUCUGGUGGGAACCAACUUUUCGCUGUAGCUUUCAGGCUCAUGCUGCCCAGGAGACUGCAGCUCUAGUGCGAGCAAUUUGCCUACCAGAGUGGGUGU
ensembl:lincRNA Gm26678 predicted gene, 26678